rnacentral:rRNA from 1 species
GACGAACGCUGGCGGCGUGCUUAACACAUGCAAGUCGAACGGAAAGGCCCUGCUUUUGUGGGGUGCUCGAGUGGCGAACGGGUGAGUAACACGUGAGUAACCUGCCCUUGACUUUGGGAUAACUUCAGGAAACUGGGGCUAAUACCGGAUAGGAGCUCCUGCUGCAUGGUGGGGGUUGGAAAGUUUCGGCGGUUGGGGAUGGACUCGCGGCUUAUCAGCUUGUUGGUGGGGUAGUGGCUUACCAAGGCUUUGACGGGUAGCCGGCCUGAGAGGGUGACCGGCCACAUUGGGACUGAGAUACGGCCCAGACUCCUACGGGAGGCAGCGGUGGGGAGUAUUGCACAAUGGGCGGAAGCCUGAUGCAGCGACGCCGCGUGCGGGAUGACGGCCUUCGGGUUGUGAACCGCUUUCGCCUGUGACGAAGCGUGAGUGACGGUAAUGGGUAAAGAAGCACCGGCUAACUACGUG